CGGCGAGUGAGCGGCAGAGCUCAAUUUGAAAUCUGGCCCCUUCGGGGUCCGAGUUGUAAUUUGUAGAGGAUGCUUCGGGUGCGGCCCCCGUCUAAGUGCCCUGGAACGGGCCGUCGGAGAGGGUGAGAAUCCCGUCUGGGACGGGGUGUCCGUGCCCGUGUGAAGCUCCCUCGACGAGUCGAGUUGUUUGGGAAUGCAGCUCUAAGUGGGUGGUAAAUUUCAUCUAAAGCUAAAUACCGGCCGGAGACCGAUAGCGCACAAGUAGAGUGAUCGAAAGAUGAAAAGCACCUUGAAAAGGGAGUUAAACAGCACGUGAAAUUGUUGAAAGGGAAGCGCUGACGACCAGACUCGCCCGCGGGGUUCAGCCGGCAUUCGUGCCGGUGUACUUCCCCGCGGGCGGGCCAGCGUCGGUUUGGGCGGCCGGUCAAAGGCCCCCGGAAUGUAGCGCCCCUCGGGGCGCCUUAUAGCCGGGGGUGCAAUGCGGCCUGCCUAGACCGAGGAACGCGCUUCGGCUCG
rnacentral:rRNA from 2 species